rnacentral:rRNA from 1 species
UACAGAGACUGCAAGCGUUAUUCGGAUUCACUGGGCGUAAAGGGUGCGCAGGCGGCCAAGUGUGUGAGGCGUGAAAGCCUGGAGCUUAACUCCAGAAUUGCACCUCAAACUACUUGGCUAGAGCAUUGGAGAGGGUAGCAGAAUUCAUGGUGUAGCAGUGAAAUGCGUAGAUAUCAUGAGGAAUACCAGAGACGAAGGCGGCUACCUGGACAAUUGCUGACGCUCAGGCACGAAAAGCGUGGGGGAGCAAAAAGGG